rnacentral:misc_RNA from 1 species
AUUAAGCCACUUUCCAACAGAAGCAACAGUUUUAAGAGCUCGAGGUCCAGGAAAUGUCUUUCCUGAUCCAUGACUGUUGGGAAGAAGGCGUCCCUUGACCUCUUCUCCAUUAAUGCCCCUUGCUGUAUUCCAUAACCAGGAACCAGUAUUUACUCCAUAAUAUCCUUGUAGCUUUUCUUCUGAAAACUGGAGCAUAUCCCCAACAGUGUUCACACCCAAGUCAAUUUGCAAAGAAGUUCCAAGUUUUCCUCCAAGCUGUUUCAUUUUUUUUA